rnacentral:lncRNA from 1 species
CACUAGAGUAGACAGGAGCAGUGGAAAGGAUUUCCUACCUCUGUGACAUUUCUGCAUCACUAAUACAACUCAUUCUUCAUGCUUGGGAAUAAACACAACAUUUUGGUGAACAGAAGCAGAGACUGCAACACCCAGAGCCUGGAGCAAUGUUCAAGAUGACAUCUACUGCUUCAGCUGAAGAUUUUCAGAGUCUCACCUCCGUGGAUGAAAAUCUUCUGCUAGAAACAUGCAAAAAGGAGAGGGAAAAAGAAUGACAAAAGAGCCUCUGACAGAUACAGACCUUCACCUCCCACUCAGCCUGGAGAAGGGACCUUUGCAUCGUGCUCUGGUAUUGUCUGUGUGUGUGUGAAAACCUCCAGAUGGAAAUUUGGAUUCAGCUGUGUGGUGGUGGAUGCUCUCCAAAGCUGGG